rnacentral:rRNA from 1 species
GAUGAACGCUGGCGGCGUGCCUAAUACAUGCAAGUCGAGCGAACAGACGAGGAGCUUGCUCCUCUGACGUUAGCGGCGGACGGGUGAGUAACACGUGGAUAACCUACCUAUAAUACGGGGAUAACUUCGGGAAACAGGAGCUAAUACCGGAUAAUAUAUUGAACCGCAUGGUUCAAUAGUGAAAGACGGUUUUGCUGUCACUUAUAGAUGGAUCCGCGCCGCAUUAGCUAGUUGGUAAGGUAACGGCUUACCAAGGCGACGAUGCGUAGCCGGCCUGAGAGGGUGAUCGGCCACACUGGAACUGAGACACGGUCCAGACUCCUACGGGAGGCAGCAGUAGGGAAUCUUCCGCAAUGGGCGAAAGCCUGACGGAGCAACGCCGCGUGAGUGAUGAAGGUCUUCGGAUCGUAAAACUCUGUUAUUAGGGAAGAACAAAUGUGUAAGUAACUAUGCACGUCUUGACGGUACCUAAUCAGAAAGCAACGGCUAACUACGUG